GGCUUGCCCCUAACGGUGGUAAUGGAGCACAGGGGAAGUUCUUAAAUGAUGGCAACUGCUGGCCCAGCCUAAUAGCCUACACAUGAGAGAGAUUACAACUGCCAGUCUCACCAGUUCACAGGUGAGGACAUGGAAGAAUGAGUGGGAAGGAGGAGUCAAGGCCUUGGUGAUUUCCACCUCCACGUGGUCUGGACCACAUUCUUCCCUAGAAGUGUUGCUUCCCUCUGCAUAUCACAGUCUGCCGUAACUGGAGAAAAGGAGAACACAGCAGAUCAGGUUAAUCACCUGGAAGACUGGGAAAUCCAAAUUCACUCCAGCCCACGCAAGCUAGGUAACUGCACCAGUCAGACCUGUUGGGGAUCCAGGGACCAGCCUGCACAUCGAUGUGUGGCAACCAGAGAGACUUUCGCCAAGCCUCCUGUGACUGUGGGAAAAGGGGCACAACACUCAGGAAGUGAUGGGAGCACAUGUUUUCCUGACCUUGACAGUGUGAAUGCGUCUGUUUUGUUUCUCUUUAGUGAUUAUCUAUGUGACCAUCAAGUGGAGAAAGAUAUCACUGGUGUCAGCUAAGAAGUGGAGAGCUAAUGCAUUAAGCUUCAUUCUGCAGCCAGUUGAGGGGGACGGCAAGCCCAAGGAAUAAAGAAUGCAGUGGGGGCGCUAAAGAAGAAGCGGAAGUCUGCUAAGUCAUUGGCACUUGCUUCAGAGAAAGAGAGCUCGAGAUGCCAGACUGGGCCCUAGAGGGAGAAGGGCCUGUGUUUGAUUUUUGGAUGACAAGUGUGACCAAGACUAGCUGUAUAACUUCCAGGACCCAGAGCAAUAUCAAUGCAGGGCCCCCUUUUUAAAAAUUAAGCAUUUCAAGACAGCAACAACAAAGCAUGAAACCAAGCAUGGGACCCUGCAGGGUGUGGGGCCCUGUGUGACUCAGCAAGUCGCACACCCACAAAGACUGUCCUGAGGGUGGCUAAGGUGACCCUCACAUGUGCUCUCACUGUGGCACGUCCCCUGCUGUGCCACGGCAUGCACUGUGGCACUUCACGUACUGUGUUUUGAUAGCAGCAGUUCUCGUCUGUAAGCUUGAUGAGGAGGAACCAGCAAGGAUGUGCCAGUAAGGAAGCUAGCACUAGAGUGUAGAGAGGGAGGGAGUCUGACGGAGGUCGCUCGGCCUCACCACCACGCGCUCUCCUCUCCUGCAGCUCCAGCCGUGAGUUGGGACAAGCGACGGAGGUUCUCCUAUGUACAGGAAGUCUUGUUUAAACUCCCAGGACUUUAGUUUCCUUCAGAUUCCAGCAAAUAUUUUAAUCAUAAGUUCUAAUAAAAGGAUACUGACUCUAAGGCUGGGGGGAAGAUGAAAUGAAAUCACAAGAAAUCAAAAAUGUAUCUUUGUCUUUUGAAAGCAGAAAGGUAAAAUUGGAGUGGGAGAAAUAAAUAAAAACAGGGUUCACAAAUAGGAUUUGAUUUUUAAACAGAACGUUUCUUAAUAUCUUCCAAGCAGAUGUCUUCCAGGGAAACAAGCUGUUGUUGAAGGAUGGGGUGUUAGUAUUGUCAGAUCGAUUGCUUAGCAAGACUUAACCUGAGAAAUUUCAUUUUCAUGAUGAUUAGUGAACAACAUGCUCUGUUCUUCUGGCUUCAUUAAUCCAGUAGAGUGUAGUCUGAAGAGAAGUUUUCUUCUAGAAAUUUUGUUUUAUCUACAUUAAAGAGAAGAGAAUAUUAAAGAUCUGUAUUUUUACAAUUUUUACACAGAUUGGUUUAACAAAGAGAAUAUCACAUGCAAGGAUUCUUUAGUUUAUGAGAAAAGAAUAACAUGUACCAGGGUUAACGGCCUCAGGACACCAUGUGACGAACUUCCAUUAGAGUCUGACUUUUUGUUUGUUUUUGUGCUUUUGUUUUGAACUUUCACCUGUGGGGCCCUUAUACCUGCUGAGCACAAUGAUGAAGAAAAAGUGUCUGGAAUGCUGUCAAGGAAUCAUACAAUUUCAAGUUUUCUUCUGAGUCCGUGUACUAUGGAAUACACAAUCCACUUUGCCCUCUAACCUUUCCUAAAGCAAAUCUAAAAGAGGAUGUAAUUAAUGUUAUUUGAGUGGUCUCCUGGUGAGCGGUCUACCUACUUGUAGAAGAUGUUAGUGUUAGUGCCUACCUGCCACACGAGAGGGGCCAAAUAAAAACUGGAAUGCCAGGCUUAUGGCAAGGAAAGGGUUUUUAUUUCAGAUAAUAUCAGCCAGGAGAUGGAAGUGAACCCUCAAAUUCGUCUCCUCUCUUAUCUCCCCAAAAGAUGGGAGGCCAGAGGUUUUAAAGGUUUGUGAGGAAUAUGACUGCUUGUAGAGAGGGAGGAAGUCAGUGGCCAGGCUGGAAGCUUUCCCACCAGCCUGCGUUCAGCCUCGGGAUGCUGCUUAGGGGAAGGAGGAGGAGAUGUUAAGGAAUCCAGGUGGCUGUCCUUGGCUGAUCUGUCUCCAUAGAAUAGUAGAUUCUGGAGCCAGGGAGCCAGGCAGUAAGCAAGGAAAGAGUGCUUUGGUUUUAACCUCAUAUAUGCUGGGUUUGAUGUAGGGGAAAUGAUAUCAGGGCUGGCAUCAUAAGGAAACUAGACCUUAAAAAAUGUCCUAUGGAAUCAAGGUGCUGUUUGUUUUUAAAUUCUUCUAUGACAUUAUUAAUACUAAAAAUAUGUACUACGAAUAUUUCAGAUUAUGACCCAAAUGAUAAAACUUUGAGUUUCUCCUCUGAUGUAAAGUAUGCUCGAACAAGAAUGACCAUAAUCAGCUAUUACUUAUUCUCUAAGGUAGAAUAAAAUUGGAUGAGGACAAGCUGAAUUACAGACAGUGCCAAGAGGCCUUCUGAGGAUUUGCUAGGAAUAGUGAAAGGCAAAGAAAGGACAUAGAGAAAGCAUUAGAAAUGCAGAUCUAUUAAAAUGUACAGAGAAAUAUUGCCCUCCAUCUAAUGGUCUGAGCAAGUCCUUCCCAGUGUCAUUCAGAACCUGAGGUUCAGGCCGCACGUUCUAAGGGAGAACAGAAAUGAGAGCUUUGUAUAUUGAAGGUGGAUGCUUCAUUUUCCUAUACCCUGGAAGGUCCUGGGAGGCAUUGAGAGGAUUUGCCCAUUUCUAUUGAUAAACCAGCUUCAUUAGGCCCCACCAACAGGAGGUGAUAAACUGUGAAUGUUUCUGUUUCCAAGAAAAGAGAUUUUUGUAGAGAACGCCAAAAUUGUAAAUUCAGAGUAUGACCCAGGGG
ensembl:lncRNA